GGAGAAUCAACUUAUGAAAAGAAACAAGCGAAGAAGAAAAAUGCAUGGAUGAAGAAGAGUUAAGCGAGGAGGAAUGGCAUAUUACCAACAAUCUUAAGAAAUUUGAAUUUAUUCUCUGUGUUCGUCUUAAUACUGUUUGUUGGAGACUAAACGAGAAAGGAAAAUUGGAGGUUACAGUAAUCGAUAGACCAAGACUUAGAAAGAAAAUUGCGACAUUGACUGGUUGUCUGGCGGAUGUUGGAUAUCAAUUUAAGAAGAACAAAUGGCUUCCCUGUUGGCCAUAAGGUUUGCCAAUCACUGCUUCUAGAGAAGAUGUCUACAUUUGCGGCAAUUCUUGCCCUCAACAGAAAAUGUGCAAUAAAGGUGAAGUGCUGGACCAUUUCCUUAUGUCGAUUACGAUUAAGAGGUAUAAAUUAAUACUCCUUUUGUGAAGCAACGAGAAAGAGCUUUUCUUAAAUGUCGUUACAAGUACUAUGGCCAAAGUCAGUUUGUGGUGACUCAAGAUCGCCUAUAUAUGCUGAUGAUUUAAAUGGGACUGAUUGAGAAAGGGAAAGGAAGUGAAUUUGUGUUGUGGCGUUGUCUAGUGAAACUGUGAAAGUUGGAUAUCGAUGUCGAAGAUCCAGUAAAUCACCACCAGUAGCAACAAUAUAAAACCAUAAGGCUACACCAAGGAGAAUGAUGAAUCAUUGUUGUGGCCACGACGCAUUAAUGUUGCGGUUCAUGAGGUUACUUUAAGCGUGAUCACCAGGCGUAGAUUAAACAAAUUCUACGCCUCAAUACAUCACUCUAAUCUGUGCAGGAUCAAUUGAGGCCAAUGUGAAAACUGUUAGCCGUUAUUACAUUAAGUUUCAUGGUGUUUCUAUUGAAAUCCUCAAGUUCGUUGAGAGUAAGUAACCGAACACUGCUAUAAAACGUCAGGCAGAUAGAAUCUGAUCCAUAAUUCCAUAAUGGAAAAUUAAGUUGGAUAAGAGACUUUGGUCCUUUACUUUCUUCUGUUUUCUAACGGCUUCAAACGUGAAAGGCUGGAUACUUUCUUAAAUUGAGUCCAAUUGUUGGAUAGAAAAGGAAGGAAAAAUACAACUAGUGGUCUCAACGAAUGAGAUAUCGAGUUGGAACCUUGCACCUGCUGUUGAUUAUAAAAUGUUGGUUAUUCUAUUUAAUUCACACAUUGCAUCGUUUGGUAAAUUCCAAAGGAAUUGUAAGAGGAGCAUUUCUCGCGGUACAUGAAUCAAGUCUUUGUGGGAUAACUUCAUGUCUUCAUCAGAAAUUAAAGCGAUAUCUAUGCCUGGUUA